rnacentral:misc_RNA from 1 species
UCCGGUUUGGCACCGGCAGUCUCCCUAGAGUUCCCGGCAUCACCCGCUGGCAACUAAGGACAGGGGUUGCACUCGUUGCGGCACUUAAGCCAACACCUCACGGCACGAGCUGACGACAGCCAUGCAGCACCUGUGCUAGCCCCUUACGGACACGGGCUUUCACCCGCUUUAACUAGCAUGUCAAGCCCAGGUAAGGUUCUUCGCGUUGCAUCGAAUUAAGCAACAUGCUCCGCCGCUUGUGCAGGCCCCCGUCAAUUCCUUUGAGUUUUAGCCUUGCGGCCGUACUCCCCAGGCGGGGCGCUUAAUGCGUUAGCUACGGCACGGAACCCAUGGAAUAGGUCCCACACCUAGCGCCCAACGUUUACGGUGUGGACUAC